ACCCGCACAAGCGGUGGAUGAUGUGGUUUAAUUCGAUGCAACGCGAAAACCUUACCCACCUUUGACAUGGCAGGAAUCCCGAAGAGAUUGGGAGUGCUCGAAAGAGAACCUGCACACAGGUGCUGCAUGGCUGUCGUCAGCUCGUGUCGUGAGAUGUUGGGUUAAGUCCCGCAACGAGCGCAACCCUUGCCAUUAGUUGCUACGAAAGGGCACUCUAAUGGGACUGCCGGUGACAAACCGGAGGAAGGUGGGGAUGACGUCAAGUCCUCAUGGCCCUUAUAGGUGGGGCUACACACGUCAUACAAUGGCCGGUACAGAGGGUAGCCAACCCGCGAGGGGGAGCCAAUCCCACAAAGCCGGUCGUAGUCCGGAUCGCAGUCUGCAACUCGACUGCGUGAAGUCGGAAUCGCUAGUAAUCGCGGAUCAGCAUGUCGCGGUGAAUACGUUCCCGGGUCUU
rnacentral:rRNA from 1 species